rnacentral:rRNA from 1 species
GUCCAGACUCCUACGGGAGGCAGCAGUGGGGAAUAUUGCACAAUGGGGGAAACCCUGAUGCAGCAACGCCGCGUGAGCGAUGAAGUAUUUCGGUAUGUAAAGCUCUAUCAGCAGGGAAGAAGAUGACGGUACCUGACUAAGAAGCCCCGGCUAACUACGUGCCAGCAGCCGCGGUAAUACGUAGGGGGCAAGCGUUAUCCGGAUUUACUGGGUGUAAAGGGAGCGUAGACGGCGAUGCAAGCCAGAUGUGAAAGCCCGGGGCUCAACCCCGGGACUGCAUUUGGAACUGUGUGGCUGGAGUGUCGGAGAGGCAGGCGGAAUUCCUAGUGUAGCGGUGAAAUGCGUAGAUAUUAGGAGGAACACCAGUGGCGAAGGCGGCCUGCUGGACGAUGACUGACGUUGAGGCUCGAAAGCGUGGGGAGCAAACAGGAUUAGAUACCCCGGUA